GAGAACCUCUCCUGCAACAAAUUCCUCCCAAAGGACUACUUUUGUGGGGAGGCCUUCCAGCCCUGCUUUUUGCCCUGAUGGGGCAAACAUCCCUCCUGUUCUCAGCUCAUCUUCGUCACACAGCCUUCAUCAUUGUAUCUCCUGCAAAGGAAGGAAUGCAUGUCAGAUCACUGGUCACCUUGGAAUUCGAGUCUCAGUCUUCAAGGAAUUGCACAUGGCCCAGAGCAAGGCAAUUUCCUCCCUUGGCCCUGCUGAGUGUGCUGUGCCUGCUGUGAGCUACAGCUGUGAAUCCUGGCAGGGCAUUCCGGGGCCCAGGCCGCCCACCCAUGGGAAGAGAAGUUUCCCUGCUGGCAGGGCAGCCGGAAAAGCACCUUGGGAUACGCCUCAAAACGCCAGACAGAAGGAUGACGUGCGUGACAUCAAGAUGCUCACAGCGGCAGCUGAAAUGAAAACAAGGAAAAUCAGAAGAUCUUUUGCUCCUUUUUUACUCUUUACUGCAGUGCCCUGGUCCCACUUCAGUGCAGACCCAGUGAGCCUGGAAGUGACCCCAGGCCCAUCCCAGAUAAAUCCGACAUUUAUGCAUCUCCACGUGGGGACUGUUGAGAGGUGCUUGGUGCUGUUGGGCGCUCCCACUUUUAAACGCCGGCGAUUUUAAGGUGCGCGCAGUGGCAUCGCUCAAAGUGGGUUCCCUCUGUGCGCGCAUCCCUGGGGAAGGCGCUCCUGCAGGAACUACGGGACACUUUAAAAACCCUACAGAGAGCCUGGAUGUGCCCCCUAUUCUACCCCGCUGCACGCAGCACUUACACCUCAAAACUCAGAGCGACCCAGGAGCCGUGCAGCAGCAGCGGGUGGCACUGCGCACCCCAUCUUUAACGGGGUGGCACUUGCAAGGGGCGCACCAAGUGGCGUCGGCAAAGUCUCCAGGGGGCCCUCUCACAGCGAUUCCCCC
rnacentral:lncRNA from 12 species